GAUGAACGCUGGCGGCGUGCCUAAUACAUGCAAGUAGAACGCUGAAGCUUGGUGCUUGCACCGAGCGGAUGAGUUGCGAACGGGUGAGUAACGCGUAGGUAACCUGCCUGGUAGCGGGGGAUAACUAUUGGAAACGAUAGCUAAUACCGCAUAACAGUCGACAUUGCAUGAUGUUGAUUUGAAAGGGGCAAUUGCUCCACUACCAGAUGGACCUGCGUUGUAUUAGCUAGUUGGUGAGGUAACGGCUCACCAAGGCGACGAUACAUAGCCGACCUGAGAGGGUGAUCGGCCACACUGGGACUGAGACACGGCCCAGACUCCUACGGGAGGCAGCAGUAGGGAAUCUUCGGCAAUGGGGGCAACCCUGACCGAGCAACGCCGCGUGAGUGAAGAAGGUUUUCGGAUCGUAAAGCUCUGUUGUAAGAGAAGAACGA
rnacentral:rRNA from 1 species